rnacentral:rRNA from 1 species
UACGUAGGGACCGAGCGUUGUCCGGAAUCAUUGGGCGUAAAGAGCGUGUAGGCGGCCACUUAAGUCCUGCGUGAAAUCUUGCGGCUCAACCGCAAGCGGUCGUGGGAAACUGGGUGGCUAGAGUGCGGGAGAGGAGAGUGGAAUUCCUGGUGUAGCGGUGGAAUGCGCAGAUAUCAGGAAGAACACCGGUGGCGAAGGCGGGUCGCUGGGCAAUAACUGACGCUGAGGAGCGAAAGCGUGGGGAGCGAACAGG